UACAGAGGGUGCGAGCGUUAAUCGGAAUUACUGGGCGUAAAGCGUGCGUAGACGGUAGCGUAAGUCAGAUGUGAAAGCCCCGGGCUCAACCUGGGAAUUGCAUUUGAGACUGCUCUGCUCGGGUGCGGAAGAGGGAAGCGGAAUUUCCGGUGUAGCGGUGAAAUGCGUAGAUAUCGGGAGGAACACCUGUGGCGAAAGCGGCGCACUGGACCACUACUGACGCUGAUGCGCGAAAGCUAGGGGAGCAAACAGG
rnacentral:rRNA from 1 species